rnacentral:rRNA from 1 species
GAUGAACGCUGGCGGCGUGCCUAAUACAUGCAAGUCGAGCGAACAGACGAGGAGCUUGCUCCUCUGACGUUAGCGGCGGACGGGUGAGUAACACGUGGAUAACCUACCUAUAAGACUGGGAUAACUUCGGGAAACCGGAGCUAAUACCGGAUAAUAUAUUGAACCGCAUGGUUCAAUAGUGAAAGACGGUUUUGCUGUCACUUAUAGAUGGAUCCGCGCCGCAUUAGCUAGUUGGUAAGGUAACGGUUUACCAAGGCAACGAUGCGUAGCCGACCUGAGAGGGUGAUCGGCCACACUGGAACUGAGACACGGUCCAGACUCCUACGGGAGGCAGCAGUAGGGAAUCUUCCGCAAUGGGCGAAAGCCUGACGGAGCAACGCCGCGUGAGUGAUGAAGGUCUUCGGAUCGUAAAACUCUGUUAUUAGGGAAGAACAAAUGUGUAAGUAACUAUGCACGUCUUGGCGGUACCUAAUCAGAAAGCCACGGCUAACUACGUGCCAGCCGCCGCGGUAA